UGGGGGCUCGUCUAAUGGCAGGACAGCAGACUCUGGAUCUGCGUGUGGUGGUUCGAAUCCAUCGCCCCCAG
rnacentral:tRNA from 2 species